rnacentral:rRNA from 1 species
AGAGUUUGAUCAUGGCUCAGGAUGAACGUUAGCGGCGUGCCUGAGAUAUGCAAGUCGAGCGGUCCGACUUUACGUCGGACAGCGGCGGACGGCUGAGUAACACGUAGGAACCUACCCCUUUCUGGAGAAUAGCCUGCCGAAAGGCGGGGUAAUACUCCAUGGUGUCCGACGUUACGUCGGACUAAAGAACGUAACUGUUCGGAAAGGGAUGGGCCUGCGGCCUAUCAGGUAGUUGGUAGGGUAAUGGCCUACCAAGCCUACGACGGGUAGCUGGUCUGAGAGGAUGGUCAGCCAGAGGGGCACUGAGACACGGGCCCCACUCCUACGGGAGGCAGCAAUCAGGAAUAGUCGGCAAUGGGCGAAAGCCUGACCGCGCGACGCCGCGUGCGGGAUGAAGACCUUCGGGUUGUAAACCGCUGUGAUAGGGGAGGAAGUCCCGACUUAGUCGGGAUUGACAGUACCCUAUUAGAAAAAAACCGCUAACUGCGUGCCAGAAGCGUCGGUAAUACGUGGGCCCCAAACGUUAUCCGGUCUUACUGGGCUUAAAGGGUCGUGUAGGUGUUUUAAUAAGUCUUAGCUAAAAGGCUAUGGCUUAACCAUAGUUUUGGCUAAGAUACUAUUAAAAUAGAGUCAUCUUUAGGGGAAUUGGAACUCAAGGAGGAGUAGUGAAAUGCGUUGAUACCUUGGGGAACACCAGUGGCGAAGGCGAAUUCCUGAAAGAUAACUGACACUGAGACACGAAAGCUAGGGGAGCGAAGCAGAUUAGAGACCUGCGUAGUCCUAGCCGUAAACGAAUGCUUGCUAGCUGCAUUUAUCCCGACUUUAAGUCGGGAGGGGUGUGGCGAAGGGAAACCGUUAAGCAAGCCGCCUGGGGAGUACGACCGCAAGGUUAAAACUCAAAGGAAUUGGCGGGGAGGCACACAACCAGUGGAACAUGUGGUUUAAUUCGAAACGAACCGUAGAACCUCACCAGGACUUGACAUCUUAGCGUUCUAUUCCGAAGAAAUUCGGAAAAUCCGCAAGGAGGCUAAGACAGGUGCUGCAUGGCCGUCGUCAGCUCGUUCCGUGAAAAGUGCCCUUAAGUGGGACAACGAGCGCAACCCCUAUCUUGUGUUAAAUCUGUCACAAGAGACGGUCCCGACUUAGUCGGGAAGGAAGGAAGGGCAGACGUCAGGUCAGCAUGGUCCUUAUGUCCUGGGCCACACACAUGUUACAAUGGAAUAAACAGCGAGCUUUGCCAGACGGUAACGUCGAGCAAAUCUCAAAAUUAUUCCUCAGUGGGGAUUGAGGUCUGCAACUCGACCUCAUGAACGCGGAAUUGGUAGUAAUCGCGGGUCAGCCAUACCGCGGUGAAUACGUUCUUGCCUCUUGCACACACCGCCCGUCAAGCCAACAAAGUCGGGGAUAUCCGAAGUCCGACUUU